rnacentral:rRNA from 1 species
GAUGAACGCUGGCGGCGUGCCUAAUACAUGCAAGUCGAGCGAACGGACGAGAAGCUUGCUUCUCUGAUGUUAGCGGCGGACGGGUGAGUAACACGUUGAUAACCUACCUAUAAGACUGGGAUAACUUCGGGAAACCGGAGCUAAUACCGGAUAAUAUUUUGAACCGCAUGGUUCAAAAGUGAAAGACGGUCUUGCUGUCACUUAUAGAUGGAUCCGCGCUGCAUUAGCUAGUUGGUAAGGUAACGGCUUACCAAGGCAACGAUGCAUAGCCGACCUGAGAGGGUGAUCGGCCACACUGGAACUGAGACACGGUCCAGAAUCCUACGGGAGGCAGCAGUAGGGAAUCUUCCGCAAUGGGCGAAAGCCUGACGGAGCAACGCCGCGUGAGUGAUGAAGGUCUUCGGAUCGUAAAACUCUGUUAUUAGGGAAGAACAUAUGUGUAAGUAACUGUGCACAUCUUGACGGUACCUAAUCAGAAAGCCACGGCUAACUACGUG